rnacentral:rRNA from 1 species
UAAUACGAAGGACCCGAGCGUUAUCCGGAUUUAUUGGGUUUAAAGGGUGCGUAGGCGGAUUAAUAAGUCAGUGGUGAAAGCCUGAUGCUUAACAUCAGAAUUGCCAUUGAUACUGUUAGUCUUGAGUACGGUUGAGGUGGGCGGAAUGUGUCAUGUAGCGGUGAAAUGCUUAGAUAUGACACAGAACACCAAUUGCGAAGGCAGCUCGCUAAACCGUAACUGACGCUGAGGCACGAAAGCGUGGGGAGCAAACAGGAUUAGAUACCCUGGUAGUCCACGCCCUAAACGAUGAUCACUCGAUGUUGGCGAUACACUGUCAGCGUCUAAGGGAAACCAUUAAGUGAUCCACCUGGGAAGUACGACCGCAAGGUUG